CAUAGCUUCUAGAUUAACUAUUAGAAGUUACGUCUGCCCAGUGACAUUAAGUUUAACGGCCGCGUUAAGUGCUAAGGUAGCAUAAUAAUUUGUCUUUUCAUUGAAGACUAGUAUGAAAGGCAUAACGAAGCCCAGCUGUCUCUAUUGAUUUAAUCGAAAUUGAUUUUAAAGUGAAAAAUCUUUAAUUUAAUUAGAGGACGAGAAGACCCUGUAGAGUUUACAGUGCAAGUAAAAGAAAAAUCUAAUUUUUACUUUUACUACACUUUGAUUGGGGCAAUAGAGGAACAAAAGAAAAUCCUCCUAUUAUAAAUUAAUAUAUUAAAAAUGAUCCUCAAAGAGAAUAAAAAAAAACUACCUCAGGGAUAACAGCGUAAUCUUUCCAGAGAGACCUAAUCGAAGGAAGGGUUUGCGACCUCGAUGUUGGACUAAGGUAACCCUAAGGUGCAGCAGCCUUAAAGGUGAGCCUGUUCGGCUCUUAAU
rnacentral:rRNA from 1 species